rnacentral:rRNA from 1 species
UACGUAGGGAGCAAGCGUUGUCCGGAAUCAUUGGGCGUAAAGAGCGUGUAGGCGGUUUGCUAAGUCUGGUGUGAAAUCUUUCGGCUUAACCGGAAGCGGUCACUGGAAACUGGCAGACUUGAAUCUGGAAGAGGAGUGUGGAAUUCCUGGUGUAGCGGUGGAAUGCGCAGAUAUCAGGAGGAACACCUAUGGCGAAGGCAGCACUCUGGGACGGUACUGACGCUGAGACGCGAAAGCGUGGGGAGCGAACAGG